rnacentral:misc_RNA from 1 species
AAGUCGUAACAAGGUUUCCGUAGGUGAACCUGCGGAAGGAUCAUUUCCAAUCCAAAAAACUUAUCAACCCACUGUGUGCACUGUCUUAAUUUUCACCUUUCUGAGAAACAAAAAAGACACACCGGCUUUCUAGUAAGUGUGCUCUUUUGGAGUAUCAGAAAGAAAUUUUAUAUUACAUCCUAUUUACACCCCAUGUAGAUCUUGUCAACAAAAAAUAGUUUAAUAACAUUAAACAACUUUUAACGGUGGAUCUCUUGGCUCGU